rnacentral:rRNA from 1 species
ACUCCUACGGGAGGCAGCAGUGGGGAAUAUUGGACAAUGGGGGAAACCCUGAUCCAGCCAUGCCGCGUGUGUGAAGAAGGCCUUCGGGUUGUAAAGCACUUUCAGUGGGGAGGAAAGGUUGUUGGUUAAAUACCUAACAGUACUGUGACGUUACCCACAUGAAGAAGCACCGGCUACUCCGUGCCAGCAGCCGCGGUAAUACGGAGGGUGCAAGCGUUAAUCGGAAUUACUGGGCGUAAAGCGUGCGCAGGCGGUCUGUUAAGCGAGAUGUGAAAG